rnacentral:rRNA from 1 species
GGCAUGGAUUAGGCAUGCAAGUCGAACGGGAUUUCAAUUGUAGCAAUAUUUUUGAAGUUCAGUGGCGAAAGGGUGAGGAACACGUGAGUAACUUACCCCUUAGUUGGGAACAACCCCGCGAAAGCGGGGCUAAUACCGAAUGUGGAUAAUUCUUCGCAUGUUGAAUUAUCUAAAGAUUUAUCGCUAAGGGAGAGGCUCGCGUCCCAUUAGCUAGUUGGUGGGGUAAUGGCCUACCAAGGCAUUGAUGGGUAGCUGGUCUGAGAGGAUGGUCAGCCACACUGGGACUGAGACACUGCCCAGACUCCUACGGGAGGCUGCAGUCGAGAAUCUUCCGCAAUGGGCGAAAGCCUGACGGAGCAAUGCYGCGUGAGGGAUGAAGGUCUUCGGAUUGUAAACCUCUGUCACCGGGGAUGAAUAAAUGACAGUACCCGGGGAGGAAGCCACGGCUAACUACGUGCCAGCAGCCGCGGUAAUACGUAGGUGGCGAGCGUUGUUCGGAUUUACUGGGCGUAAAGGGUCCGCAGGGGGCUUUUCAAGUCUGAUGUGAAAUACCGAAGCUUAACUUCGGAAUUGCAUUGGAAACUGCUAGGCUAGAGCAUCGGAGAGGAGAGUGGAAUUCCAGGUGUAGCGGUGGAAUGCGUAGAUAUCUGGAAGAACACCUAAGGCGAAGGCAGCUCUCUGGACGAUUGCUGACCCUCAGGGACGAAAGUAUGGGGAGCAAACAGGAUUAGAUACCCUGGUAGUCCAUACAGUAAACUUUGUGAACUUGACGUGGGGCCCGCCCCGUGUCGUAGCUAACGCGAUAAGUUCACCGCCUGGGGACUACGGCCGCAAGGCUAAACUCAAAGGAAUUGACGGGGGCUCACACAAGCGGUGGAUCCCAAUUCCCGCGG